GCAGGGGGAAGAGCUGCCAUUUUGUCUGUUUGAGAAAAUUUGUUUGCUUAAACUCAUUUCACCAGAUUUACAGUUUUUAAAGCCCACUGCUGAGAGGAGCUUUCACCAACUGACCAACCAGACACCUGCUGCAGAUCCCCGUGGAGCUGCCUCGAAGAAGGAUGCUAAUAUCACAUAUCAGUUAGAUGACCAAGUUCAGGGCCUGCACAACUGCUGCAGCUACAGCGCCGGAGCUUGGAUCAAUGGAAUACUGCUGGGGAUACACUGGACCACACCCACUUACUGAUUAGACCCUCUGAUUGGAUAUCACAUGGAUGUCUUGACCACUGCCAUGGCUUUCAUGCAAAUUGAUAAAGGGGCGACUCAACAUCGAGUCUUUUCUGGAGGAAGUGGUGCUGGUGUUGUUGUGGCGAGGGGACUUCAAAGAGGCUGGGACAUCAGUCACGAGCGAGCAGAGGGCAGAACCUGGUCAACGGCAGGGAUUUGUCGUCUAAUAACCCCUCUGGGGGACUUCAGGUCUAAUUUCAGAGGCGCUGAAAGUAGGAUUUUAUGAACUAUGCCAUAUCCUCAAGUCUUUGCUUUCACAUGUUUUUUCCAUUACACAGAAGCUAAUUGUGAUGAUAAUGGGCGAGUGAAUAAAUUCAUGUUUUUUUUAAA